AUCUAUGUCUAUAUAGUCUACCUUAUCAAAACCAUGCUGUAGUAAAUUAUCAUAAGUAUGUUCAAAAUUUUUAGACUUAAUUGCACUUAUGUUAGCUAGUUCUCCAUUACCUAAAGAAUUAAGGCCAGAUUGUCUUGAUUUGCUCCCCAGUUUUCCAGCCUUAUCUCCCAACACAGUCAGUCUUCCAUGUACCUCCCUACACUCCAGUCUUUAUAGUUCCCUGAACAUGUCACAUACUUUUAUACUGCUGAGUAUUGCUUUACGAUCAUCCUUCUGUCUCAAGUGCCUCUUUCACUCCAUUUGCAACCUAUCAACAACCUAUAGAAACCCCCAGUUCAAAUGUUCCCUCUCUUUUCAAAUCUUCCCUGACUCCCUAGUCAAAAGUAUUCCUUCUAGGAUGUAUAACUUUUACCUUUAUUUAACACAUUUUUGUUCUGCUUUCUUGUUAGUUCCUUAGAUAUCUAACUCUCUGACCACACUUUAAGAUCCUUGAAAAUGGGAUUAUGUGUUUUGAUCACCUUUAAAUCUUCUCCAAUCCCUAGCACAUGCCUUUUACAUAAUAUGAGUGAUGGCUGGGUUUAUGCUCCUAAUCGGCAAGUACACAUGCCAGUGGAGGGGGCUGGUAUCUGCUGUUGAUGGUGCUCCAGAAUCUCAUGGGAGUAAAGGGGUCCUAUAGAGUGGUUACUGGUUUGUAUCUGGUACAGACUAUAGGAUUUAAAAGCACACAGAAAUGUUGUCCAAGGUACACUGACAUCAAAUAACCUUCAGUUUCUCAAACAAGCAUCAGUUUGCAAGCACAAAGAAAUACAAAAAUAUGAACAGUCAUCAAACUGGUAUCAAUAAUAUGUAGAGCAGACGUAUGUCCCAUAAAUAUAGAAUUGUCCUAUAUCUAUUUUCCAUUUUUAGAAGAAUCUAGAAAUAUCCCAUAUGUGUGUUUAGUCCUGAGAAUCAGGCAAAUGCAUAUGUGAUGUCCAUGCCAUCCUGAUUUCUCAGUCUUCACAAGCUGGCAUCCUAUAAGCCACUGAGAUCAGAAACUGAGACAUUAGUCCCCAGAUCCCCAGUGGAUCAUUCCAUAAUGCGGUUGGGUUUUUAACUUUGUGUCAACACAUACUUCAGUCUCACCAACCAUGAGUGCACAGAGAGGGGAACUUAGCAGAGAGUUGAGUGAGGUGAGCACCUGGGCUGGAGGGGCAGCAGAUGAGGAUUUACUAACUCUUUCAACAACUCUUUACAGAGACCUACUAUAUGCUAAGCACCAUCCUUAGUAGCAAGAACACAGCAAAGAAAAGAACAAAACUUCUGGCCCCUGAACGCUUGCAAAGUAGGAGAGAGACAAACAGGAUAAAUCAGUGUCAUACACAGCUUGCUAGAUGUUGACAAGCACCAAAGAUGAAGAAAGGCCUCACCAGGAUAUGAACAAGUGGCAUGCACUUAGCACAGCCAGAGACCAGAGCAAAGCCCAGGGGACAGUCAAAGUUACCACCUCCCAAACAGCUGGGAGUCAAGCACAGGAUGUGGUUGAGUUAAAAGCAUGACUUGGACUGCAACCUUCACAUAUUUAGAAAAUCAAGUACAAAUGCAUGCACACCCACAGGUUUUCACUUGGCUAAGGCUUCCAGGGCGCAGAGCUGCAAUAAGCACAGUGA
rnacentral:lncRNA from 10 species